rnacentral:rRNA from 1 species
AGCAGCCGCGGUAAUUCCAGCUCCAAUAGCGUAUAUUAAAGUUGUUGCAGUUAAAAAGCUCGUAGUUGAAUUUCGGGAUUAAUUUAUCGGUCGUGCUUUUGUACGUACUGGUAUUAUUGAUUCCUACCUUCUGACGAACCAUGAUGUCAUUAAUUUGGUGUCUUGGGGAAUCAGGACUGUUACUUUGAAAAAAUUAGAGUGUUUAAAGCAGGCUCACGCUUGAAUACAUUAGCAUGGAAUAACGAAAUAGGACGUUUGAUUCUAUUUUGUUGGUUUCUAGGAUCGACGUAAUGAUUAAUAGGGAUAGUUGGGGGCAUUAGUAUUCAAUUGUCAGAGGUGAAAUUCUUGGAUUUAUUGAAGACUAACUACUGCGAAAGCAUUUGCCAAGGAUGUUUUCAUUAAUCAAGAACGAAAGUUAGGGGAUCGAAGACGAUCAGAUACCGUCGUAGUCUUAACCAUAAACUAUGCCGACUAGGGAUCGGAUGAUGUUAAUUUUUUAAUGACUCAUUCGGCGCCUUACG